UGGGGAAUAUUGGACAAUGGGCGAAAGCCUGAUCCAGCCAUGCCGCGUGAGUGAUGACGGCCUUAGGGUUGUAAAGCUCUUUCGACGGGGACGAUAAUGACGGUAACCGUAGAAGAAGCCCCGGCUAACUUCGUGCCAGCAGCCGCGGUAAUACGAAGGGGGCUAGCGUUGCUCGGAAUCACUGGGCGUAAAGCGCACGUAGGCGGAUCAUUAAGUCAGGGGUGAAAGCCUGGGGCUCAACUCCAGAACUGCCCUUGAUACUGAUGAUCUUGAGUCCGGAAGAGGUUGGUGGAACUCCGAGUGUAGAGGUGAAAUUCGUAGAUAUUCGGAAGAACACCAGUGGCGAAGGCGGCCAACUGGUCCGGUACUGACGCUGAGGUGCGAAAGCGUGGGGAGCAAACA
rnacentral:rRNA from 1 species